rnacentral:lncRNA from 1 species
GUCCUUCCUCCCUCUCUUUUCUCCCUUCACACCUGGAGUAUGUGUUGUUCUACUGAGAACAGAAGUGGUUCCCUCCAAUAUGAUCUGACUCUUAAUAACGUUAUUUAGCUGACAUGUCCCAUGUCCAUGCUACAUGAUUCAGACCCCAUGAUGCUGAAAUGUCAGUGUGACCUUAUUUCCCUCCCCCACCUCCCUUUUGAAUUACCAAUGUAGUGUAGUGCAGCGCAGCACGUGUGCUCGUUUCUGUGUGUGUGAGAGAGAGAGAGAGACAGAUUACCCUGUACUUUUAAUUCCCCGUCAUAAUCCAUGGAUCUAUUAACCAUGGGCCUACAGUAUUAACCUCUGGUGGGUUUGGUGUGGUAAUCCACAGUUUGUGUUGAUUCAACCAGUGUUUGCCUAGUGGGUAGUUUGUGUUGGGAUGGUCACAGGUAGAUCUGUAACAAUCGCAGAUAGAGAGACAGAGCUGGAAAAGGAAUCAGCCAUGACUAACCAGUGACCAGCCAGUCCUGGAGCCUUACAUGCUGACCAGAGCGAACAUGUUGUGUGCGCAAGGGUUGCAAAAUAAAUGUACAUAUACACAUUAUUCAGUCAUUGCACUCACACUGCUCGUGGGCAUCAGCGAGCGACUGCAUGGCCAGGCGCUAAAAUAGAAAUCGGUUCUAUUUGGGACGCUCAACAUGCUGCCAGUCCGGCCUCUCCCAUCUCCUCAUAGGUUUUUAAGAGCAUAUACCCACGUGCCAUCUCCUCAUAGGUUUUUAGAAGCAUAUACCCACGUGCCAUCUCCUCAUAGGUUUUUAGAAGCAUAUACCCACGUGCCAUCUCCUCAUAGGUUUUUAAGAGCAUAUACCCACAUGCCAGCUCCUCAUAGGUUUUUAAGAGCAUAUACCCACAUGCCAUCUCCUCAUAGGUUUUUAAGAGCAUAUACCCACGUGCCAUCUCCUCAUAGGUUUUUAGAAGCAUAUACCCACGUGCCAUCUCCUCAUAGGUUUUUAGAAGCA